AACGAACGCUGGCGGCAUGCCUAACACAUGCAAGUCGAACGAGACCUUCGGGUCUAGUGGCGCACGGAUGCGUAACGCGUGGGAAACUGCCCUUAGGUUCGGAAUAACUCCCCGAAAGGGGUGCUAAUACCGGAUAAUGUCUUCGGUCCAAAGAUUUAUCGCCUUUGGAUGGGCCCGCGUUGGAUUAGCUAGUUGGUAGGGUAAAAGCCUACCAAGGCGACGAUCCAUAGAUGGUCUGAGAGGAUGAUCAGCCACACUGGGACUGAGACACGGCCCAGACUCCUACGGGAGGCAGCAGUGGGGAAUAUUGGACAGUGGGCGAAGGGCUGAUCCAGCAAUGCCGCGUGAGUGAUGAAGGCCUUAGGGUUGUAAAGCUCUUUUACCCGGGAUGAUAAUGACAGUACCGGGAGAAUAAGCUCCGGCUAACUCCGUG
rnacentral:rRNA from 1 species